rnacentral:rRNA from 1 species
AGAGUUUGAUCCUGGCUCAGGAUGAACGCUAGCUACAGGCCUAACACAUGCAAGUCGAGGGGCAGCAUGAUUGAAGCUUGCUUCAAUUGAUGGCGACCGGCGCACGGGUGAGUAACGCGUAUCCAACCUGCCCUUUACUCGGGGAUAGCCUUUCGAAAGAAAGAUUAAUACCCGAUGGUUUCCUUUGCCUGCAUGGACAGAGGAAUAAAGAUUUAUCGGUAAAGGAUGGGGAUGCGUUCCAUUAGAUAGUAGGCGGGGUAACGGCCCACCUAGUCGACGAUGGAUAGGGGUUCUGAGAGGAAGGUCCCCCACAUUGGAACUGAGACACGGUCCAAACUCCUACGGGAGGCAGCAGUGAGGAAUAUUGGUCAAUGGACGAGAGUCUGAACCAGCCAAGUAGCGUGAAGGAUGACUGCCCUAUGGGUUGUAAACUUCUUUUAUAUGGGAAUAAAAAAGGCCACGUGUGGCCUAUUGUAUGUACCUUAUGAAUAAGCAUCGGCUAAUUCCGUGCCAGCAGCCGCGGUAAUACGGAAGAUGCGAGCGUUAUCCGGAUUUAUUGGGUUUAAAGGGAGCGUAGGCGGGCGAUUAAGUCAGCGGUAAAAUAGUGUGGCUCAACCAUGCUCUGCCGUUGAUACUGGUUGCCUUGAGUGCACACAAGGAAGAUGGAAUUCGUGGUGUAGCGGUGAAAUGCUUAGAUAUCACGAAGAACUCCGAUUGCGAAGGCAGUCUUCUGGGGUGUUACUGACGCUGAGGCUCGAAAGUGCGGGUAUCAAACAGGAUUAGAUACCCUGGUAGUCCGCACCGUAAACGAUGAAUACUCGCUGUUGGCGAUAUACAGUCAGCGGCCAAGCGAAAGCAUUAAGUAUUCCACCUGGGGAGUACGCCGGCAACGGUGAAACUCAAAGGAAUUGACGGGGGCCCGCACAAGCGGAGGAACAUGUG